UAAUAUAUUUCUAUUACAUUUAUUUUUUAUAUUUGUUUCUAUUUCAUUUUUUUAAUAAUUAAAAUAAUAAUUCUGUUAACUAACAUUAUUAGUAUUCUACAAAAUGAUUAUUAGACUAAUAAAUGCAAUGACGUAAAUAUCACAAAGCUUGUGUUUGUUUCUGCUAUGUUUAAAAGAUGCCAUUUCCUGUCUGUGUUUUCCAGGGGUGAGUAGUUUUACUCUAUUUUACUUUUACCGUCGUGUUUACAUCUGAGUUGAAAUCCCAUGCAGUUACUUAAAAAUGUAUAACGAUGGUGACAGUUUGACCCAGGAACAGAUAAUUGCCACCAUUUUGUGUCGGGAAAUGGUUCCUCGAGUCAGAUUGUUGAGGUGGUGUGCUCUUAAGAGAGGCUCAGGCAAGCAAGGGAGGCAAAGUCACCUUCAAUGGAGAUUCUGGAGCCUAUCCCAGCUGACUUUGGGCAUAGUCACCAGCCAAUUCCAGGAAAGUCAACUAUAUAGUUAAAAACUUAGGACUUAAGUGGACUGCUUAGCGUCACCAUGAGUCACCGGCAAGCUUACUGAGAACAACAUGGACCAGGAAAGUGAGUGAGUGUGGCCUGCUUCCAAUUAACCUCCCCCAGGGCCUCUUCCAAACCUCCUCGAACUAUCCCGUAAACACGUUGCUGGAUUUUGACUCAAACAUUUCUUCUUGUUAUCAUUGUAACUAUCAUUAUUAGCGUUAUUACUUAUUGUUGUGUUGCUAAUAAACACAGUUGUGUGUUUACUCUACAGAUCGUAUAUACAGAUUAAAACCACUUGUGAGAGCGACAUAAACAAAAAAAAGUCUAGACGUUUGAUUGUGUUCAUU